rnacentral:rRNA from 1 species
AACGACUCUCGACAACGGAUAUCUCGGCUCUCGCAUCUAUGAAAAAAGUAGCGAAAUGCGAUACUUGGGGUGAAUUGUAGAAACCCGUGAACCAUCGAGUUUUUGAACGCAAGUUGCGCCCCAAACCAUUAUGCUGAGGGGACGUCUGCUUGGGUGUCACGC